rnacentral:sRNA from 1 species
GUAGCUCUUAUAUUUUCAGACCUACAUA